UCGGCCACUUCACGUUGAAACUCCCAGUUCCUGUACGAUCACUUAAGUUAAGCAACGCCGAGCCUGGCCAGUAGCUAGAUGGGUGACCACUUGGGAAUACCAGAUGUUGUAAG